AGAGUUUGAUCCUGGCUCAGGACGAACGCUGGCGGCGUGCUUAACACAUGCAAGUCGAACGAUGAAGCCCUUCGGGGUGGAUUAGUGGCGAACGGGUGAGUAACACGUGGGCAAUCUGCCCUGCACUCUGGGACAAGCCCUGGAAACGGGGUCUAAUACCGGAUAACACUCUCACGGGCAUCUGUGAGGGUUGAAAGCUCCGGCGGUGCAGGAUGAGCCCGCGGCCUAUCAGCUUGUUGGUGAGGUAGUGGCUCACCAAGGCGACGACGGGUAGCCGGCCUGAGAGGGCGACCGGCCACACUGGGACUGAGACACGGCCCAGACUCCUACGGGAGGCAGCAGUGGGGAAUAUUGCACAAUGGGCGAAAGCCUGAUGCAGCGACGCCGCGUGAGGGAUGACGGCCUUCGGGUUGUAAACCUCUUUCAGCAGGGAAGAAGCGAAAGUGACGGUACCUGCAGAAGAAGCGCCGGCUAACUACGUGCCAGCAGCCGCGGUAAUACGUAGGGCGCAAGCGUUGUCCGGAAUUAUUGGGCGUAAAGAGCUCGUAGGCGGUCUGUCGCGUCGGAUGUGAAAGCCCGGGGCUUAACCCCGGGUCUGCAUUCGAUACGGGCAGACUAGAGUGUGGUAGGGGAGAUCGGAAUUCCUGGUGUAGCGGUGAAAUGCGCAGAUAUCAGGAGGAACACCGGUGGCGAAGGCGGAUCUCUGGGCCAUUACUGACGCUGAGGAGCGAAAGCGUGGGGAGCGAACAGGAUUAGAUACCCUGGUAGUCC
rnacentral:rRNA from 1 species